rnacentral:misc_RNA from 1 species
UGAAUUUGAUAAGGAGGAGACAUUGAAGCAUUUUGAUAAUGUUGCGCAGCGUGAGCAGGCACCUGAGUUAUUUCGAGUUCUUGGAUUUGCAGAUAAAGCUCAUGACUUUAUCCAGAAGCUUAUUGGCAAAAAUAAGAUACUUGAGGCUGUUCCUUUCAUAUUUGCCUUUGGUCUAGUUGAUAAAUUCCCUCCAGUGCCCCUGCUUAGACUGCAUGCAGAGCGUGCUGAGAAGAAUUAUAAAAAGAUUUGCAGCAAGGGAAAUAAUUCUUCAAAGGCGCUGGAUGAUGCUACAGGUACAGAAAUAGCUGCUCUGAGAGGUAUACUAGGA